GUUUGAAUCUGCGCAGGCGUGAGCCUCUGUCUAGUCUGGAGAGUCACCGGGAGUUGGAGGACUAUGGAUACGGCUCCCCUCAAGGCUUCCUGGUGGGCUGACACCACCCCUAAGGCCAGCAGCCAAGAGGCUUGGCGGACUCUUCAACUCAGCCAACCCAGGAGCUGCUCAGCCCCCAGGAAAGAAAACUGUAAAUACAUGCAAGUACAAGCCAUGUGCACACAUUGGUGUAUGCAGGUACUAGGAGCACAGAACCUCUUCUGUGGGCUUCCCAGAAGAGGGGCUUCACAAGUGAGAGACCGGCUGGAGAAGAGAGUGCGCACGAGGGAGCACUUGACAAUUCCAGGGAAUCCUGCCCGGUGUGACUAGAGCGCAGCAUCCACCCCAAGGAGUGGCUGGGCAUGAGGGAAGAACCUGUUGGAGCUGGGCCUCACGUGUGUUGGGAAACAGUUUGGACUUCAUUCUCAGGCAUGGGAGAAAUGCCGUCAAAGUUGUGACAGUUUGGAAGCUGUGUUUCUGAGCAGCAUCCGGUGGUGAUGCGGUAACCAGGCCCCUCCUCUGUCGAGUGAGCUUUAGGAAGACCCCAGAGCUACUGCAAUCAGAGAGGACAGGGGGUUCAGCGGCCAGAGAGCAGACUCUCACGGGUUGUGUCGAAGACGUGCUUGGGGGCAGAGCCAGCGACUCCCAAACUGAGUCAUCAGCCAUGGGCUGUAAAAAGAGGUUUUCAAGCAGGGGAG
rnacentral:lncRNA from 1 species